AUUGAACGCUGGCGACAUGCCUUACACAUGCAAGUCGAACGGCAGCACGGGUGCUUGCACCUGGUGGCGAGUGGCGAACGAGUGAGUAAUACAUCGGAACAUGUCCUGUAGUGGGGGAUAGCCCGGCGAAAGCCGGAUUAAUACCGCAUACGAUCUACGGAUGAAAGCGGGGGACCUUCGGGCCUCGCGCUAUAGGGUUGGCCGAUGGCUGAUUAGCUAGUUGGUGGGGUAAAGGCCUACCAAGGCGACGAUCAGUAGCUGGUCUGAGAGGACGACCAGCCACACUGGGACUGAGACACGGCCCAGACUCCUACGGGAGGCAGCAGUGGGGAAUUUUGGACAAUGGGCGAAAGCCUGAUCCAGCAAUGCCGCGUGUGUGAAGAAGGCCUUCGGGUUGUAAAGCACUUUUGUCCGGAAAGAAAUCCUUGGCCCUAAUACGGUCGGGGGAUGACGGUACCGGAAGAAUAAGCACCGGCUAACUACGUG
rnacentral:rRNA from 1 species